rnacentral:lncRNA from 1 species
UUUUUUUCCCUAUUUUACUCAUUAUCUGAACAUGAAGAUUAUAAUAGUUGUAAUUCUAUGUUUUCUUUUUAAAGGAAACUUAUGUCAAAAUUUGAACCCACUUAUACAUUAUUGUGACUUUACCGAUAAUGUUUUUCUAUCAGUAGUGCCACACGUAGUGAAAGAUGAGAAAGUAAUUAAUAAUACAUGGUGCAUUAUAAAUGAAGAAAAUAUAGCUGAUAUAAUUCUUAUAAAAUGUCCUGAAAAAAAUGAUACGAAUUAUAAGAAUAUAGAAUUAAUUCCAACCGAUGCUUUCCAGUCUGUUUUAUAUUCCCCAACUGCAGGCCCUGAUAAAAGCUAUAAUAUAACCGACCAUUCAAUAUCUAAUAACGCUCUUUUUGAACUCACUAUUGAUAAAAGUGUUAUAAAGGCUUUUGCAAUUAAUGGACAAAUAAAAAAUAAACAGACCGUUUAUAUUAAGUGUGAUAAUUCAAAAACAAAGGAAACCGUCGGUGAUAAGACAAAAAAAGGAAAAGUAGGAAUCGUCAAAAUUAUUAUCAACCAACAGAAAGAGACUAAGCAUAUAGAUUUCAAAAAGAGUAAACCACCUACUACCUUAGAUCAAACUGCCGCAAACAACAAGGUGGAAGACAUAACGCCCAAAGAACAUGAUAUAAUUAGUAUGGUUGGUACAGAUAAAGGGGAAAUUAAAAAUGUAAAUUGUGAAAACAAAAUUUUAAAUAUGAAAAUAACUAGUUAUGGUCCAUAUACACAUCUUAGAAUGCCUACUGUAUUUUUAACAGAUGUUAAAUGUGAAUAUCAAAUUACUUAUGAAAAACAAAAUGUUUAUAAUUUAAAACUUAACAUCCAAAAGACAAAGUCAAUUGAAGGUUGUGAUUUUACGAAACCAAAAGGAACUGGUAUUUUUAAAGAUGGUUUCGAAAUUGAAAAAUCGACAGAAGAAAACAAUAAAUGUACGGUAUCUGUGGGAUCAAAUAUUGGUGUAUUAGCAGCCGGUAUAAAAUGUCCACACAAAUUAACACCUAAAUAUUGUUUCAAAACAGUUUUUUAUGAGCAAAAAGGACUCUCUGAAUUAAAUAAAUCACUCCCCAAAAUGAGUUUGUUAUCUGAUGUAGUAGGAACAACAGAUAUAGAAUACUACAUGAACAUUAAAGAAGGUGCAUUUAUUGUUGGUUUUCCAGCAAGCACAAUGGGACAUAAAGAAGUAACGUGUGUAUGUAAAAAAGAUGAUAAAACUGCUACUAUGAUACUAAAAAUCGCAUCUGCUUAUUCUUACACUUUUAGCUUUAUCUUGAUGUUAUUUAUUAUUAUUAUUUCUUAUGUAUUUUAAUUUUUUUUUUUUUUUUUUUUUUUAUUUUUUUUUUGAUUAUGCCUCUGAUUAGAGCAUUCACUUUUAAUUUAACUUUGGUUUAUAUUUUCAUUUUGGUUAUAAUUUAACUUUUGUUUUAUUUUUAUUCUGU